rnacentral:rRNA from 1 species
GAUGAACGCUGGCGGCGUGCCUAAUACAUGCAAGUCGAGCGAACGGACGAGAAGCUUGCUUCCCUGAUGUUAGCGGCGGACGGGUGAGUAACACGUGGAUAACCUACCUAUAAGACUGGGAUAACUUCGGGAAACCGGAGCUAAUACCGGAUGAUAUUUUGAACCGCAUGGUUCAAAAGUGAAAGACGGUCUUGCUGUCACUUAUAGAUGGAUCCGCGCUGCAUUAGCUAGUUGGUAAGGUAACGGCUUACCAAGGCAACGAUGCAUAGCCGACCUGAGAGGGUGAUCGGCCACACUGGAACUGAGACACGGUCCAGACUCCUACGGGAGGCAGCAGUAGGGUAUCUUCCGCAAUGGGCGAAAGCCUGACGGAGCAACGCCGCGUGAGUGAUGAAGGUCUUCGGAUCGUAAAACUCUGUUAUUAGGGAAGAACAUAUGUGUAAGUAACUGUGCACAUCUUGACGGUACCUAAGCAGAAAGCCACGGCUAACUACGU